rnacentral:rRNA from 1 species
AACGAACGCUGGCGGCGUGGAUAAGACAUGCAAGUCGAACGAUUACUAGUGGGUAGCAAUAUUCGCUAGUGAGAGUGGCGCAAGGGUGCGUAACACGUGGGUAAUUUGCCGUAAAGUCUGGGAUAACUUGCUGAAAGGCGAGCUAAUACCGGAUGUGAUUUCUGGAAGGCAUCUUCUGGAACUUAAAGUCGGGGAUCGUAAGACCUGACGCUUUUCGAUAAGCCCGCGGCCUAUCAGCUAGUUGGUGAGGUAACGGCUCACCAAGGCUAAGACGGGUAGCUGGUCUGAGAGGACGACCAGCCACACUGGAACUGAGACACGGUCCAGACACCUACGGGUGGCAGCAGUCGAGAAUUUUUCUCAAUGGGGGAAACCCUGAAGGAGCGACGCCGCGUGGGGGAUGAAUGGCUUCGGCCCGUAAACCCCUGUCAUUUGCGAUCAAACCUUACGACCUAACACGUCGUAAGCUGAUAGUAGCGGAAGAGGAAGGGACGGCUAACUCUGUGC